GAAACCGAGAAUUGACAGAGACGAGAGGAGCAGAGGAGAAACGGGCAAAGAGAAGCGGAUGAUCGGAGGCCGUUUUCGAGCAUGCAAGCUUGGAUUCUGGACAAGCCAAAGCAAGUAGUAGUAAGGGAAAGGAGAUUGCAAGAGAAGAAGAUGGGCUGUGAGAAGAGUGUUGCAUUUUCCCGAGCCUGUCAAGGAAUCACCAGAAAAAGAGGACAAUAAGAUUUGUUUUGGAAGAAAGCGUGCCAGGUAGUAGCUCUUUCCUCUCUUAUGAUUGUGUUUUGAUCGCUAUAUGUUUGUCUGUGCUAUAAUGCUGUAGUUAAGCAUGAGAACAUGUAAUCUUUUCUUUGUAUGGAUUAUUUAGCCAUGGCCACGAGUAGCUAAUAGACAAGGGAUAGUUUUGCCAUUUAUCUGCGCGCCAUUGAUUUCAUCUUGUCUAUCUAGUUUUGCACAUAAUUUGCUUUUAGGCAUAGCUUGGGAGGUGUUGUUUCUUCAUUGCUUGUUUUGCAUGUUUUUGUUGAUGUUGCAUAAUUAUUUGAUGGAAAUUGUUACCACGAGGAUUCUUUGAAAUCUCAUCCCACAUUUCUUCCAUAUUGUACAAUUAAGACCGAUAACUCUAAGGGCAAGAGCAUUGUGAUUGAAGAAGAAUGAAGGUAGAAGAAGCAGGAAUGCCUACUUAUAUUUUAUACUGAUUAUAUAUAUAUAUAUAGGUUAUAUGUAAAUAUAUAUUUUGACAAGGUGUAUUUACUUGCAUGUGUGUGUGUAAUAUAUAUGUAUUCCCUCCGUUAGGAGGAGGAAAUUAAUAGCUGGAGAUAGACAAGUGCUAUAGACUGAGGUGGUAUCUAUACAAGCGUAUGAUAUUACUACCUCCUGUCCUAAUUAGGACCGGAGGUCGUAAUUAGGACCAAAGGUAGUAAUUUCUAACUCUUGUUAUGAUGAUAACAAUGGAUGUCAGUUAAAGCAAGUUAGAAAUCAGGGCAAUAAAUAUUAAGCUUUGCAGCUCAUUAUAGAUUUAAUUAUAUUUAGUGGAUAGUUAUAAGUAGUGAAGAUUGGUUCAA